UAUAAUACCAAACUAUUAAUCUUGAAUUCUAUAGAAACCCGGUUUUAUAUACCUUUAAUAUAUACCAUUUGAUAUAAGACAACGUAACAUGGAAACCCGACACGAUAUAUGGUAUGGAUGAUACUUGAUUUUUUGAUUUUUUUUUUUUGACAUGAUAAGUCUUCAUCAGUUUGUAUCACCAUGAUUUAAUAUUGUAUCCAGGCCGUAGCUCACAAUACUAGUAAACAUAUUAUUUUUUAGUAUAAUCUUUUGACGUACAAUAGUAGUAACAAUAAUAUAAACUAGAUAGUCAAUGUAAACUAGUAAUUUUAUUAGCAUAUAGACCUAAAUUUGAUUGUUUUUAAA
rnacentral:lncRNA from 1 species